rfam:Aeromonas sp. RT39B genome assembly, contig: Ga0136726_105
CAGCAUUCUGGGAGCUGGAACUUAGGGGCGGUAGCUUA